rnacentral:rRNA from 1 species
AUGGCGAGGCGCCGCCACUCUUCCUCUGGUCUCCUAUGCGUCCUCUUCCUCCUGAUCACUGCUGCCAUGGCAGCGGACGGUGCAGGAGCGCGACAGCGGAAAUUGCAGCAAGUGCCAGGGCCACAGCCGCUGCCACUACCAAACCCACGCCCACAGCCGGGGCCGAACCCAGACCCAAACCCGCAGCCACAACCAUUACCGCAGCCACAGCCGGACCCAAACCCGCAGCCACAGCCAUUACCGCAGCCUCUUCCACAACCACUGCCGGACCCAAACCCACAGCCACAGCCUUUACCACCACAGCCUCUGCCACAACCACUGCCGGGCCCAAACGCGCAACCGCUGCCAUUACCGCCGCCUCUGCCACUAUCACCGCCGGGCCCAAACGCGCAACCGAUGCCAUUACCGCCGCCUCUACCACUACCACCGCCGGGUCCAAACCCACAGCCACUGCCGCAACCGGAUGCCCCGGGCUCAUAUCCACAGAUAAAGUGA